rnacentral:rRNA from 14 species
GAGGCGAUGAAGGACGUGAUAAGCUGCGAUAAGCUACGAUUAGGUGCAAAUAACCCGUGAGUCGUAGAUUUCCGAAUGGGGCAACCCAACUGAUAGAAGAUCAGUUAUCCUGUAAAGGAAGCAAACCCGGAGAACUGAAACAUCUAAGUACCCGGAGGAAGAGAAAACAAUAGUGAUUCCGCAAGUAGUGGCGAGCGAACGCGGAUUAGCCCAAACCUUGAUCGUUACGGCGGUCGAGGGGUUGUAGGACUGCAAUGUGGACUAUACAAUGAAUUAGAAUGACUUGGGAAAGUCAACCAUAGAAGGUGAAAGUCCUGUAUAAGUAAAGUUGUAUUACCUAGCAGUAUCCUGAGUAAGGCGGGACCGGAGAAAUCCCGUCUGAAUCCACCGGCACCAUCCGGUAAGGCUAAAUACUUCUGAGAGACCGAUAGUGAACUAGUACCGUGAGGGAAAGGUGAAAAGAACCCUGAACAAGGGAGUGAAAUAGAACCUGAAACCGUACGCUUACAAGCGGAGGGAGCCUACGGGUGACCUCGUGCCUUUUGCAUAAUGAUCCUACGAGUUACUCCUCACUAGCGAGGUUAAGCAUUUAAGAUGCGUAGCCGAAGCGAAAGCGAGUCUGAAUAGGGCGAACUAGUUAGUGGGGGUAGACGCGAAACUUGGUGAUCUACCCAUGAGCAGGUUGAAGUUGCAGUAACAUGUAAUGGAGGACCGAACCAGUAAACGUUGAAAAGUUUUUGGAUGACUUGUGGGUAGGGGUGAAAGGCCAAUCAAACUGAGAGAUAGCUCGUACUCCCCGAAAUGCAUUUAGGUGCAGCGUUGUGUUAGUUUUAUAGAGGUAGAGCUACUGAUUGGAUGCGGGGGCUUCACCGCCUACCAAUUCUUGACAAACUCCGAAUGCUAUAAAAUAGUGCACAGCAGUGAGGGCAUGGGUGCUAAGGUCCAUGUCCGAGAGGGAAAGAACCCAGACCAUCAGCUAAGGUCC